rnacentral:rRNA from 1 species
CCUACGGGGGGCAGCAGCGGGGAAUAUUGCACAAUGGGGGAAACCCUGAUGCAGCAACGCCGCGUGAGCGAAGAAGGCCUUCGGGUCGUAAAGCUCUGUCCUAAGGGAAGAAAAUUGACGGUACCUUAGGAGGAAGCCCCGGCUAACUACGUGCCAGCAGCCGCGGUAAUACGUAGGGGGUGAGCGUUAUCCGGAAUCACUGGGCGUAAAGGGUGCGUAGGCAGCUAAGUAAGCCAGGGGUGAAAGGCUACGGCUCAACCGUAGUAAGCCUUUGAAACUGUAGGGCUUGAGUGCAGGAGAGGAGAGUGGAAUUCCCAGUGUAGCGGUGAAAUGCGUAGAUAUUGGGAGGAACACCAGUUGCGAAGGCGGCUCUCUGGACUGUAACUGACGCUGAGGCACGAGAGCGUGGGGAGCGAACAGGAUUAGAUACCCCAGUAGUC